GUGACUGUGGCGCUGCAAGCUUUCACUUUCGUUUAUAAGGAAAAAACAGUUUAAAGUAGCGAGGCAGGGGAAGACGAUCAAAAUCUUGAACAUGGCUAGUGCAGAGCCCAUGGAGGUCGACAGACCUGACGACAUGAGCCAAGUUGAAGAUGGAGCUCUCAUUGUUCUCUCACUGAAGUGGAUAAAGUCUGAUGAUGAACCACAAAAAACAAAGAAGCCUGAGACUAGUCUACAGAAAAUGCUUCAGACCUGGUUCAACAAAUGUAUACCUA